rnacentral:rRNA from 1 species
AUACGGAGGGCGCGAGCGUUAUUCGGAAUUAUUGGGCGUAAAGCGCGUGUAGGCGGCUGGGAAAGUCGGAUGUGAAAGCCCGGGGCUCAACCCCGGAAUUGCAUACGAAACUUCCCAGCUCGAGUCUCGGAGAGGAGGGCGGAAUUCCCGGUGUAGAGGUGAAAUUCGUAGAUAUCGGGAGGAACACCAGUGGCGAAGGCGGCCCUCUGGACGAUGACUGACGCUGAGACGCGAAAGCGUGGGGAGCAAACAGGAUUAGAAACCCCGGUAGUCC